rnacentral:rRNA from 1 species
AUUGAACGCUGGCGGCAUGCCUUACACAUGCAAGUCGAACGGCAGCACGGGAGCAAUCCUGGUGGCGAGUGGCGAACGGGUGAGUAAUAUAUCGGAACGUGCCCAGUCGUGGGGGAUAACGCAGCGAAAGCUGUGCUAAUACCGCAUACGAUCUAAGGAUGAAAGCGGGGGAUCGCAAGACCUCGCGCGAUUGGAGCGGCCGAUAUCAGAUUAGCUAGUUGGUGGGGUAAAGGCCCACCAAGGCGACGAUUUGUAGCUGGUCUGAGAGGACGACCAGCCACACUGGAACUGAGACACGGUCCAGACUCCUACGGGAGGCAGCAGUGGGGAAUUUUGGACAAUGGGCGUAAGCCUGAUCCAGCAAUGCCGCGUGCAGGAUGAAGGCCUUCGGGUUGUAAACUGCUUUUGUACGGAACGAAACGGCCCUUUCUAAUACAGGGGGCUAAUGACGGUACCGUAAGAAUAAGCACCGGCUAACUACGUGCCAGCCGCCGCGGUAAAAC